ACCGAUUUGGUCCUAGUCCUAACUUUAGCUAAUUUUUAGUUGCCACAUGCAAGCCCAAUGACAAACCAGUGAAGUAAAAAUUUUGGUCUCCCCACCUAAAAAGAGACAGGAGCAAAAAUUCUAGUAUCAGGCCCUAACCAAUGCCCACGACACUAAGCAAUACGCCACAACUGCAGUACUAAACAUUAGACAAUCGGAAAAAUCCGGAUCUAGCAAAAAAAUAAGCAAGGGGGCAAAAUACGUGCCAGCCACCGCGGUUAUACGUACUUCCUAAAGCUAAAUAAAACGGUAUAAAGGGCGGUUAGAAAAAUAGAUUUGACUGUAGCUCCCAGCUAGUGGUAAAAAACUAAUCUGAGAAGAAACAUAAGUCAAAAUAUUUAUUUGAACCCGCGAAAACUAAGACCUAAACCAGGAUUAGAUACCCUACUAUACUUAGACGUAAACAACCUAAGCACCAGAGAACUACAAACUAAAAGUUUAAAACUCAAAGGACUUGGCGGUUUUCCAUACCUCCCUGGAGAGCUUGCCAUUGAAUCGAUAAUCCACGAAACACCUCACCAACUUUUGUAAAUCAGCUUGUAUACCAUCGUCGUAAGUCUACUUCUUAAGAAAGUUGGCUCCUAGGGAAAAUUCCCAGACGUCAGAUCAAGGUGCAGCACAUAAGCUGGGAAUGAGUGAGCUACAAUGUUUUUAACGACCAGCGAAAAUAGAAAUGAAACAAUUCUUUAGAAGUUGGAUUCAGCAGUAAGCCCCAAAUAGAAAAUGGGGCUGAAAAGAGCUCUGGAAUGCGUACACAUCGCCCGUCACUCUCGCCUAGCUUAACUUAAGUAAGGGGAGAAAAGUCGUAACACAAUAGGCACACCGGAAGCCUGGAAAAU
rnacentral:rRNA from 15 species